rnacentral:rRNA from 1 species
UACGGGGGGGGCAAGCGUUGUUCGGAAUUACUGGGCGUAAAGGGCUCGUAGGCGGCCAACUAAGUCAUACGUGAAAUCCCUCAGCUUAACCGGGGAACUGCGUCUGAUACUGGAUGGCUUGAGUUCGGGAGAGGGAUGCGGAAUUCCAGGUGUAGCGGUGAAAUGCGUAGAUAUCUGGAGGAACACCGGUGGCGAAGGCGGCAUCCUGGACCGACACUGACGCUGAGGAGCGAAAGCCAGGGGAGCAAACGGG